UUUCCGCUGGGGGGGUUCUCGCCCUUGCAGUCGGCGGGGCUGUCGGCGGUGGCGCAGCAGCUGGGUGCUACGCCCAUGCAGGUGGC
rnacentral:tRNA from 1 species